UCCGGCUUCGGGCUGGGGCCCGGGGCAGGCUUUGGGUCGGGCGUGGGCUUGGGGUCAGGCUUCGGCCCCGGUUUAGGGUCGGGCUGCGGGUCUGGUUUGGGGUCGGGCUUGGGUGCUGGGUCAGGUUUCGGCGCCGGUUUAGGGUCGGGCUUGGGUGUUGGGUCAGGUUUCGGCGCCGGUUUAGGGUCGGGCUUGGGUGUUGGGUCAGGUUUUGGCACCGGUUUUGGGUCGGGCUGUGGGUCUGGUUUUGGUUCAGGUUUUGGCGCUAGUUUAGGGUCGGGCUUGGGAGUCGGGUCAGGUUUCGGCGCCAGUUUAGGGUCGGUCUGCGGGUCUGGUUUGGGGUCAGGCUGUGGCGUAGGCUUGGGCUCUAGGCUGGGCUCAUGCUUCAGCCCCGGCACCCUCCCAGCGACGGCGAGGCUUGCAACAUUUGCCGCGACGAGGGCCAAGAGCAAGCACAGCGAGAAGGCAGUUGCCCUCAUCGUCGCCGCUCACUGGCUAGCUAGCUGCUCACUCAGGUCACUCUCCUUGUGUGUGUCACCGGAAUCACACUUGGCUGUGUGAGUGUGCGGCAGACGUAGUAGAGGAUUUAUAGGCCCGACGAGCGAGCCGACGCCGGACGCGUGUCCAUCGCCUUUGCGAGCCCGUGACCGGCACGGUGACCAGCUACAGUGACAUCUCUCAGCUUUUGUUCAUGUCACCUUUGCAUGGCAUGCGCGCACCGGCCAAAUCAUCCAGCAGAAAAGAGCCAAAGGAUCCACGAGACGGCAUGGAUCGACGGACACGUACGCGGGCAAUUUUUGCGAGAUCUAGGACCCCGCCCGGACACGAACAAGUGGCACGUACGCAUGCAUGCAAAGAGCCGGUCCCCAGCUCCACCUUCGUCUUCUUCCAUUGUCUCUGCUUUUGCUACGCGCUCCUUCUCGAUUACUCGAUCCGUCGGAGAGACAAUGCUCUUAAGGCCAACUCCACCCCGCGAUCUCAAACGGACGUCCGCUUUGACCGAAUUCUGUCCCUUUGGGUAGAGCGAUGUGGUUGUGUCCGGGCCUGUCCUGGGAUCCGGUGGCCGUGCGCCCAGCGCGCGGCCGCAUCCGUUUGCCCCAUCCCGUCCACCAGGGCCUAAAAUGCUCAUAUUUUCAUAUGAAAACAAGUUUGCAUGUCCAAAUAUCAAUUGUUUGAAAAUUAAGAUAGUUUUACAACCCAAUCGAAAUUGUCUCUAAUAAAAAUAGUUUUAAAACCAAAUUGAAAUUGUUUUGAAUGAACAUAAAAUGAACCAAUUCAUCUAUCGGUUGCCAAUAUGAUCCCACCCGUGCUCAACCAAGUCAUUUUGAAAAUCCACAUGAGUGUGCCAAUCACGUAGCUCACGAUGGAACUGGACAAACUGAUCAAGCGUGGCCGGUUCUUGGUGCAGGGGCUCAACAUUGUCACCUUGAAAAUCAAAUCCUUGGUCGAAGAUACUGUCAUCACGCUCGUCCUCGACGAUCAUGUUGUGCAUGAUCCCACAAGCAGUCAUCACCUCCCAAAGCUUCCUUUCAUCCCAUGACAGUGCAGGGUAUCGAACGAUGCCCCAUCGGGAUUGAAGCACACCAAAAGCACAUUCCACAUCCUUUCUAGCACUCUCUUGCAUUUGGGCAAAUCUCUUUCUCUUCUCACCUUGGGGCUUCGAGAUUGUCUUCACAAAAGUUGACCACUGAGGAUAUAUAACAUCAACUAGAUAGUAUCCUUUGUUGUACUGGUGGCCGUUGAUCUCAAAGUUGACAGGUGGGGAGCGGCCUCCCGCAAGCCUCGCGAAGACUGGAGAACGCUGCAACACGUUGAUAUCAUUGUGAGAACCUGCCAUGCCGAAAAAAGAAUGUCAUAUCCAAAGAUCCUGCGAUGCCACCGCUUCUAAUAUGAUAGUGCACUCGUUGACAUGCCCCUUGUAUUGGCCCUGCCAAGAAAAUGGACAGUUCUUCCACUCCCAGUGCAUACAAUCUAUACUGCCAAGCAUGCCUGGCAAGCCUCUAGCUGCGUUGGUCGCCAACAAUCUCUCUGUAUUAGCGGCAGUUGGCUGCCUCAAGUACUCUGGGCCAAACACCUCGAUCACAGCCUCGCAGCACUUGUACAUUGACAUCAGACAUGUUGUCUCACUCAUACGCACGUACUCAUCAACCAGACCGCCUGGAAUUCCAUACGCAAGCAUGCAGAUGGCCGCGGUGCCUUUCUGGUAAGAGGAGAAUCCAAGCUUGCCAAGGGCAUCCGUCUUGCACUCGAAAUAUGGGUCAUGAGCAACCACUCCCUCUCGGAUACGAUUGAACACAUGCCUUGCCAUUCGAAAACGGCGACGGAAUUUAUCCGGCUUGAAGAGCGGUUUGUUGGAAAAGUAAUCGACAUAAAGCAGGGCGUGGCCUCUCUCCCUGUUGCGGUUCAUGUUGGGAGCACGGCCAGGGACUGACCCCCUUGUAAGGGCAUAUUUAUUCCUAAGUGUUUUGGUGAUUGAUGACAAUGCUUUUGCGGACUAAUCGUGUGCCUUGAGUCCCUCAGAUACUUUAUCAUUAGGCACAAGAUGAUUCGGUGCCCCUCGGAGACUGUUGAAGCCGGCGUUGUUCUACGUUUCUCUUUGGUGGAGUUGAGUCGUAGGAGAGCCGUACUAUUAAGAGGGGGUCCGCGUCGGAAAGGUAGGGUGGAAUCACAUGUACACUUGUCCCUCCUUUCCUUGCACUUUGGAGCUACCCGUUGUUAUCUUGGUUGUGCGGAAAACUGGCGACUACUGCUGUACUUGCGGUAGUACCGCAGGUACAAGCGGUAGUACCGCGGCGUGUCACGGUAGUACUGCCCUUUUGGUGCGGUAGUACCGCGGCACCCUGGCCUUGUGCCGCUCCGGUGCGGUAGUAGGGGCGGAUGUAAUUUUUUACAUCCGCGCCCCCCACGGUAGUACCGCUCGUCCAGCGCGGUAGUACCGCGGGCGCCCACGGUAGUACCGCUCCCUUGGAGUCGCAGUACCGUGGCCCUUCGACCUAGUACCGCAGUGUCGCGGUAGUAGGCGCGGAUGUAAUUUUUUACAUCCGCGCCGGCCACGGUAGUACCGCGCCUCGCAAGCGGUAGUACCGCGUCGGGUUUUUGCACCACCCCAGUUUCAGCGGAAGUAGGCACGGAUGUAAUUUAUUUCAUCCGCGCCCUUCCCAGGCCGUGACCCUCCUGCCUUGCGGUAGUACCGCAAGGGGGAGCGGUAGUACCGCGCCAGCGGUAGUACUGCUCUUUCGCCAGGCUUGUUCCGGCCUGUGCUGUUGCCGCGGUAGUACCGUGGUCGACCACGGUAGUACCGCGCGGCCUCGCAGUAGUACCGCUUCCUUGGAGCGGUAGUACCGUGAGUCGCGGGCUGAACAUGUGGAUAACGGUUGGAUUUUUUCCACGACUAUAUAAGGGGUAUCUUCUACCUCUAGUUGACUACCUCUUCCACCUCUAAGCUCCAUUGUUGCUCCAAGCUCCAUUUUCGCCCGAUCUCUCUCCCUAGCCAAUCAAACUUGUUGAUUUGCUCGGGAUUGGGUGACAAGGGCCCGAUCUACACUUCCACCACAGGAUAUUUGAUUCCCCCCACUUAUCCCUUGCGGAUCUUGUUACUCUUGGGUGUUGAGCACCCUAGACGGUUGAGGUCACCUCGAAGCCAUACUCCAUUGUGGUGAAGCUUCGUGGUGUUGUUGUUGUUGGGAGCCUCCGAUUGUUGUGGAGAUUGCCCCAACCUUGCUUGUAAAGGUUCGGUCGCCGCCUUCAAGGGCACCAAUAGUGGAAUCACGGUAUCUCGCAUCGUGUGAGGGCGUGAGGAGAAUACGGUGGCCCUAGUGGCUUCUUGGGGAGCAUUGUGCCUCCACACCGCUCUAACGGAGACGUACUUCCCCUUAAAAGGAAGGAACUCCGGUAACACAUCCUCGUCUCCACCGGCUCCACUCUUGGUUAUUUCGUGCCUUUACUUUCGCAAGCUUACUUGUUGUUACAUCUCUUGCUUGCUUGCGUGCUAGUUGAUAUUGCAUCAUAUAGGUUGCUCACCUAGUUGCACAUCUAGACAACCUAUUUUGUUGCAAAGUUUAAUUUGGUAAAGAAAAGCUUAAAAAUUGUUAGUUGCCUAUUCACCCCCCCUCUAGUCAACCAUAUCGAUCCUUUCACCCCUGUACCGAGGAAGCUGCCGUUGAAUGUGGUCGUGAACAACCAAUGCAGCCACCACAAGAUCCUCAUCAUCUGACGACGAAUCGUCCGAUGAACAAAGGAAGUGGUGGAAGAAAAACUCGUCUCCACUGUCCAUACCUUUGUGGGCAAAAUGUCGAACACCUUGCGGUCGUGGUGGCGAAGAGGCCGCGAUGAUCACCUCGACGCAGCAGGGGUGGUUGCCGGCCGGCUACUGUCCGCUCUAGAGCUGUCGGAAGCUGUCGCGGCCGCCGUGGUACGUCAUCGGCGGUCAUGUCCCCUCUGCCAUCGGCAAAGACGGCGAUGGCCAAAACUCCUCCGAUCGACGACCAAAACUACGGCGAAAGCGCGGGCGUGGUGGCGGCCAUGUCGAGACGUGGUUUGGUAUGGACGGCCGGGGGUUGCGCGGUGAGGAGGUGUCCGGAGAAUAGCGGCAGCGCUGGCAGCAGGGUGNNNNNNNNNNNNNNNNNNNNNNNNNNNNNNNNNNNNNNNNNNNNNNNNNNNNNNNNNNNNNNNNNNNNNNNNNNNNNNNNNNNNNNNNNNNNNNNNNNNNNNNNNNNNNNNNNNNNNNNNNNNNNNNNNNNNNNNNNNNNNNNNNNNNNNNNNNNNNNNNNNNNNNNNNNNNNNNNNNNNNNNNNNNNNNNNNNNNNNNNNNNNNNNNNNNNNNNNNNNNNNNNNNNNNNNNNNNNNNNNNNNNNNNNNNNNNNNNNNNNNNNNNNNNNNNNNNNNNNNNNNNNNUGCAUCGCGGCCGUCCGCGCGCGUCCGUUUCACCCCAAACCGAGCGUAACUUUGGGCCGGGGAUGGGUCAAAAACGGACGGAAUCCGGACAUUUGUCCGUUUGAGGCCGCACGUUGGGCCGCGCUAUUCGUCCGUUUUACCCCAAACGGACGCACCCAGACAAGAUGGGGUCACGCGGUGGAGUUGGCCUUAUGCCAACCGCAACAGCCCACCCACUUAAUCCACGCGCGUCAAUUUGUGUUAAAACAGACAAAAAUCGCAACCCAACGCGUCGACGCAAACCAAUGAACGUCCUUUUUUCCAUUUGCGACCAAUUUUUGGUUUGAAUUUGGACCGGAUUUGUAUCGGCGUGGACACGACGUCGACAUGCAUGAUGCUCUCUCUUGUUCCCUUCCCUGGUCCGUCCGUCGGUGGCACAUCUCCAUUUUCGCUCUUCCUCCUACAGACCCGACACCCUCCAACCAUGUCCGCAAGGCGUUCGGCGUUUUGCCCGCAAGGUACCAUGGACAGUGGGAUGAGUCUUUUUCAAUAACUUCAUUUGUUCAUUGCAUGAUUCAUCAUCGGACAAUGAGCAUUUUGUGGUUGCGACUAUGGUUGUCAAUGACCACAUUGCUAGGCAGCAUGCGAGGUUUAGGGGAUCGAUCAUGGGUCAUGCUCCAGCGUUGAACCACGAUAGAGAGAGCGGCCAUUGCCUACUCUACGCCAGUUACUUUUAGUGCACGUCCCCACUCUUCAAUCCCAAGCUUUUCCGGCGCCGUUUUCGGAUGGCGAGACAUGUGUUCAACUGCAUACGGGAGGGAGUGAUGGGGUAUGAUGAUUACUUUAGAUGCAAGGAGAUGCCCUUUUAGGUUGGAUUAUCCUCUUAUUAAAAAUGCAUUGCAGCUAUUCGGAUGCUUGCUUAUGGAAUCCCCGAUGAUCUUGUGGAUGAGUAUGUCCGUAUGAGCGAGUCCACAUGCCUUGCAUCAUUGUACAAGUUUUGCGAGGCUGUGAUAGCACUGUUUGGCCAAAGUACCAGAGAGAGCCAAAUGCUGUGGAUACACUCCGGUUGUUGGCGGUCAAUGCAGAGGUUUUUUUUUCGAGAAUGCUUGGUAACAUAGAUUGAAUGCACUAGAAGUGGCAAAAAUUUUCAUUUGCUUGGAGGGGCGGUAUAAGGCGCAUGUUAAGCUUGAUCAGUCAUACUUGAAGUUGUCGCUUCACAAGAUCUUUGAAUUUGGUACUCUUUUUUGGUACGACUUGUUCCCACAAUGACAUCAACACACUUCAGCGCUCUCCGUUGUUCGGAAGGUUUGCAGAAGGCAAUUGCUGGGUGGUCGACUUGAAGAUCAAUGGCCACAACUACAAUAAAGGAUACUACCUAGCUGAUGGUAUCUAUCCUGAGUGGUCAAUACUUGCAAAGACAAUCUUCAAUCUAGUAGGAGAGAAGAGGGCCAGGUUUUCCCAAACACAAGAGAGUGCUAGGAAGGAUGUGAAGCUUGCUUUGGGUGUGCUUCAAUCUCGAUGGGCUAUCGUUCGACACCCUGCUACAAUAUGAAGCCAGUAUAAGAUGUGGACGGUGAUGACUACUUGUGUGAUCAUGCACAACAUGAUCAUAGAUUAAGAGCGUGAUGACAACAUCUUCAACGAAGGGUUUUAAUUUCUGGGUGAAAAUGUUAUGCAUGAGCAUGGACCGGCAACGCUUGCACAGUUCACCAAAUUUCAUCAUGAAAUGCGUGAUUGGGCAACUUACAUUCAACUCUAAAAUGAUAUCGUUCAGCACAUAUAAACUCAUCUAGGCAAUAAAUAGAUGUAUCGUAUCUUUUUCUUUUAAUAUAUUCGUGACGAUUUGAAUUUGAUGUAAACUAUGAGAUUUUUAUUUGGUUGUAAACUCUUUAUUAUUAUGAUGUAACACUAUGUGAUUUAUUUUGUGUGCAAUGUAUAUUUAGUUAGAUUAUAUGCAUGAAAGUCUAAAAUUUUGUGUAAAUUUGGCGUGUCUACUGGCUGGGUGGACCAAAUGAGCAGUCUGAUUGGGCGCACUACUCAGCAAAACGCGGGCGCGAGCGGAAGCCGCCCCUUCGGCCGAUCCAAAUGGACAAAAGGCAGAUCAAAUCCGCGUUCAUUUUAGUCGACAUGUUGAAGUUGGCCUUAAUUGCCUGGCACCACUCUUCCUUCAAAAACGAAGAAAUAGUUCCUUGUUCAUGUCCAUCUAUGCUAGCAAUUUCCUUUCUUGUCCAUCCAUACUAGCUAAUACUAUUCGUUCCACGAGAAAUUUAAGAUGAUCUCAAAGUAACAAGAGCCAUUAAUUCUCUUAGAUCCAAGAGAUGAUCCUCUAUUAAUGAAACCACGUGGCCAAUAGGACACUGUACUACGUUCAAAUAUGAAAACAAAUAUAAUAUUUUAAGACAACUAAGGAAAGACAUGAAAAUGGACUCCAACAGCGAUCUGAAGUUCGAUCUGGGGUGGUUUUCUUUUACGUAAAGUUCGAUCUGGGGUGUAAACCGAGGAAACAAAUCGUUCCCAUCAGAAGGUAGGAUCGAUCGAACGAUUUCAGAUACUCAGAAACCCCCGUGCAACCUCAGGCUAAACCCAGCCCACAACAGUGAUCAAGUCCAGUUGGACCAAAAAGCCCAAUUUUCAUUUGAUACACUAGCAUGCCUUAAAGACUGGAAUUCACACUUGACUCCAAAUAAAUAAAAAACAUUAUAAAUUGUCCUAAUUUAGGAAAAUCAUGGCAAAUUUAUACAAAUCAGAUGACAAGUUUAGAGAAAUCUUUUGUCCUAAAUCAUAACAAUAUUGCUGGAAUGAUAUUGUUUCUGAAGUAUGGUAAAUUUGUCGAUGGCAAUGUUUGAUGCAAUCAAAAAAAUACAAACAACCCAUUGGUUGGAUGCAUGUUUUGAACAUAAGUUUGCUAGGCCAAAAUGUGAUACAUAAAAUUUUACAAUUACCAUGCAUGAGAACUAAAUCUGUCGUAUCUUAGAAACAAAACAAGAAAACUUAACGAUUAAUAUUUGAACCAAAGUUGCCAUUGUUUCAUAUGAUGAAGGUGAAAGUGCGUUAUAUCGACUAGAGGGGGGGGGGUGAAUAGGCGAUUUUUAUGAAUUCUUCACUGAGGAAUUUGCUGGUGAGGAAAUUCCUUAGCGAAGAACUACUUGCAGCGGAAUGAGUACUCAGAAGUAAACAUAACAUGAUACAAACAUAGUCAUCAUGAUGAAAUGAAGACUAGCACAGAGUACAGAAAGCGUAAACACAGGAUAACAAGAUGAAGACAAACAGACUGAAGAAAUUGAACUGAGGAAUUUGUGAAAGUCUUCAGUCAAAGUCUUCAAACACAGAUAUGAACAACAUACAACACAGUCAUGAGGAAAUGAAAGAGUUAAGGAAAUAGAACCAGUUAGUUGAUGAAGACAAUGAUUUGGUAAACCAGUUCCAACUGCUGUCUUAGUUGUACGUCUGGUUGGAGCGGCUGAGUAUUUAAACUCGAGGACACGCAGUCCCGGACACCCAGUCUCUGAGCCGCAACUCAGGACACCCAGUCCUCACCGUAUUCUCCUUGAACUAAGACCACGUAGGCCUCGUCCAAUCACUCGUGGUAAGUCUUCAGGUGACUUCCAAACCUUCACAGACUUGGUCACUCGGCGAUCCACAAUUCCUCUUGGAUGCUCUAGACCUUGGCGCCUAACCGUCUGGAAGAAGCACAGUCUUCAAAGGUAACAAGCGUCGGAUCCAUGUAGGAUCAAUUUCUUCAGUGAUGCUCAAUCACUUUGGGUUUGUGGGGGUUUGGUUUUGGGAUUUUCCUCACUUGAUGAUUUUCGCUCAAAGUCCUCGGAGGAUGGGUUGCUCUCAAAUGACAAGUGUCAAGUUCUCUCGGAGUAGCCAACCAACUAGUGGUUGUAGGGGGCGGCUAUUUAUAGCCUAGGGAGCAGCCCGACAUGAUAAGACAUAAAUGCCCUUCAAUGAUAUGACCGUUAGGUGGAUAAGAUAUUUUGGACAACCGGCGCGCAGCACAGCAACGGUCGGAAAUUUGACUCUCAAAUUCCUCAGGGCUAUCAUGUUCCUCACUGUGUAGGCAAUUCGCACUGGCAAAUUCCUAACUCCUCAGUCAGAGCAAAGUCCUCAGUGACCAGAAGAACUGCGUCUCUGUCACUGAAGAAAUUGACUGAACUGUAUGAGAUUUCCAAUGGCUUCACUCGAAGGGAUUGGUAGGUGUAGGAUUUUGAGUUGAGCAUCACAUGGAAAUUUUUCCUUAGUAUUUCCUCGACCCCCUUUAACAGUACGGUGUUUCCUAUGACUCAAGAAAGAGAAAAUGAAACUACGAAAACAAAAGUCUUCACGCUCCAUAUUCCUCGAAUGAAUACCAAGUCUUCAAGGUCACACCAAUUUCUUCACUUUCAAAGUCUUCAGAAAGUCUUCAGAAUAUCAAAGUCUUCAGUCGAAGAACUUCAUUUUUAGGGGUCGACUUUCUCUGUAAAUAUCAAACUCCUCAUAGACUUAUAGACCUGUGUACACUCACAAAUGCAUCAGUCACUUAACAUAUAAGUCUUCAAUACACCAAAAUCACUAAGGGGCACUAGAUGCACUUACAAUCUCCCCCUUUUUGGUGAUUGAUGACAACAUAGGUUAAGUUUUCAACGGGGAUAAACAUAUGAAGUGUAAAUACUGAUAUUGAGGAAUUUGAUUGGAAGAUAUAGAAGAACUCCCCCUGAAUAUGUGCAUAGUGAGGAAUUUGCUUUUGAGGCAAUGCACAUUUGAAGAAUUGAAUCAUGGAGAUCUCCCCCUAUAUCUUGUAAUUCAUACACGCAUUUGAUAUAUAUAAUAUGAAGAAUUUGAAAUGCAUGAUGAAAUAUGGUGCCUGAUGAGAUUCAGCAUGCGUGCAAUAAUAUUAAUGAGGAAUAAGCAUGCAGAAUAACACAUCAAAAGUAUCAGAGCACAGUGCAAAGUCAGCACAAUGCACCGUUCAAAAGUAUCAGGGCACCAUCGGAUUUAAGAUUACAACUCGAUCCAAUAAAAGUUUCGGAAGAACGAGAGUUGUAACUUAACAAAACGCCCAUAAUAUAAACCCGCUUGAAGACUAACUCAGAUUUCUCCCCCUUUGUCAUCAAAUGACCAAAAGGAUCAAAACUGAGGACUAACGCCCCUGAAGAAUUUCAAGUCGAUGGAGGAGCGCCAGCGUUGUCGGGGUUGUUUGUUGAAGAAGGGCCUGCCGCAGUGUCGUCCAAAUCUUCAUGUUCAUCAGUUUCACGCGAUGAAGAAUAAGAACUGGCCACCAGAUCAGGAACUUUGACUCUCUUAAAUUUCUUCGGAGGUGGUGUAGACCAGUCAAAUGCUUCCUUGAGACCCAUAGUCUUCAGUUCUUCCGUGGAAUAUACAUGAGUGAGAACAGCCCAGGUGCGGUUGAGGGUUUCAUGAAGGUGAUACUGAUUUUUCUUCACUGCAUUAUGGGUUGAGGUCAUGUUGUGAAGAAUUGCAGCAAAUUGACGUUUCACCCAUUUGUGAUUGCGAUCAACCUUCUGAUGAAGACUGAGGAGUAACUCACGGUCAGUCAUCACCCUGGGUGCUGUUGCUUGAGGCUUUUGCUUGGCUGAUGUAUUUGCGGCAGUGUCAUGUGUUGCAGAAUCGUCAUUGGUGGAGUAAGAUGUAGCUAGACGGAAUUGACCAUCCAAUGGACGAGUGCCUUCAUCGAUCACAGCAGCUGCCUUGCCCUUAUCAUCAGAUGAUGAAACUAGUCGCUUGAGGACUUCAAUGGGCGGCAAGUAGCUACCAUGGUUCAGAGUGUCAGCCUUGUAAUUCAGUGAAGAUCUUGCCCUUAUGAAUCUCAUAAUCCAAGGCGCAUAGGGCUUCAGCUCAAAAGGUGACAUAGCAACAUUAGCCAGAGUCCUCAUGAAGAAAUCAUGGAGGUUGACGGGAACGCCAUGAAUGAUGUUGAAAAGCAUGUUCUUCAUGAUGCCAACGACAUCUUCAUCAUUUGAGUCGUGGCCUUUGAUAGGACUCAUUGUCUUCGUCAGGAUGCGAUAGACAGUCCGAGGCACAUAUAGCAGUUCCUUGACGAGGAAUUUGGUUCGUGGGGCCUGCCCUGGCUUCAAAGGCUUCAUGAGCACUUGCAUAUAAUGAUCUGUCAGUUCGCGGUCAUUGUAGAUGCAACGUGCACUGUCAUGGGGAGGAUCAAGAGGAAGGACACGAAGCAAUUCAGUUGCUGGUGCCUUAUAGUGAGUGUUUUCUGUCAUCCAAUCCAGCACCCAUGAAUUGACAUCUUCAGCAUCUCCGGUGAUAUGCAAAGUGGCAUAGAACUAAAGAAUGAGUUCUUCAUUCCAAUCACAGAUAUCAGUGCAAAAAUUCAGUAGUCCUGCAUCGUGAAUAACUCGGAGGACUGGCUCGAAGCACGACAGAGAUUCCAUAUCCACAUAAGGAAUGUGCUCAUGAUCGAAGAUUUUGUCCUUGUCAAAGAGCACGGAGGAAUAGAAGUUGGCUUGAGUAGCAGUCCAGAAACGUCUUUUCCUUAUGCGAGCAGAGUCAUAUGGAUUGUAAUCAGUGAAGAACACAUGCUCAGAAAAGAAGUCUUCAGCCUUGAAUUUUUGCUUGCUAGAGAACGGAUUCUUCGGUUUUGGCAGAGGAGUGUCAGUGAUUUGCAGCAGAACCUCAGGAAUCACGAUCUCAGGUGCUUCGGGCUGAGGAAUUUCUGGUUCCUCUUCUUGUGCAGUUUGGGGAUCAGCAGCAGCAGGUUCUUCAGCACUAGCGGCUGGAAUUUCUUCAUGAAUCAGACGAUAUGGGAUGAGUUUCUUCAGAGCCCAUUUGAACAGUUGUAGCCGGGGCCUGAGGAAUUUGUUGAAUAGGAGUGAAGAGAGGAGUAUUGGGAUGCUGACUUUCCCAAAAGUCAUCGUUCAUCACUGGUGUAGUGCAUCCAAUAUCCACAUCUUCUUCUUCUUUUUCAAUUUCCUCAACACCAGCCUCUUCAGCUGUGAACUGAGGCAUAGGUGAGGAAACGACUGGCGUUGAAGGGAAUGUUACCACUUCAAUUUCUUCAUCAAACUGCUCUGAGGUAGCAACAGAAUGAUUUUCUUCAUCAGAUCCGCUUGGGAUUUUGUAGUCUUCUCCAUAAGGAACAAUAUCCUUUGAUGACAUGGAGGAAAUUGGAAUGGCAUCAAUAGGAUUUUCAAGCGAGCUGGUCAUUGGUUUCAUUUUCUUUGCGGCCGAAGAAUUUGACGCAGCUGAUGCCUUCCUUUUCUUCACUACAGCUCGCUCUGCAGCCUUGGUCUUCUUCACUUCAUAGGCAGAAGGAAGAAUUGGAGUUGGUGUUGGCGCAGGAGGAGUUGAGGACUGUGGUUCAUUUUCAUCAGGCGCAACAGGUGCAGUUGCCCUGAUCUCUUCAGUUUCUUCAGGCGCACCACUAGUGGAUGCCCUGGGAAUUUCUUCAACGGCUGGAAUGGAGUCAUCAGCCCUGGAACUUGUAUUCUCAUCAGCGGGCUAAAAGUCAUCAGCAGUGCUGGCAUGUUCUUCAGCAGGCUGAGCAGAGUCUGCAGCCUGAGGAUUUUCUUGUUGCGAUGGGGCUGCAACAGUUGUCAUUUUCUUCGUCAAAUUGACGAAUCUCACUUUGGCUCCUUGCCAAUCAGCAUUGUAUGCAUCGAAAUCUUUGCUGAGGGCUUGGAUCUCAGAUUGAGCCUUGAGAAGUUCUUCAGGUGUCGGUCUGACAACGUUCUUCUUCAGAAGCUUCUCCUUUCUAGCUUGUGCUCUCUUUAUCUCACGAGCCUUUUCAAACUUCCAUUUCUCUUGAGCGAUGAAAUGGGUUAGCAUAUGACUUUGACCAGGAGUCGGAGGCAGAUCAGGCAUUGGAGUGUUUGGAUCCUUAUGCCAUAAGUCAAUAUAAUCGAGGAUCUUCUUCGGAUCCAAAAGCAGAGGCACAGGUGUUUCUUUGGCUCUAGCGGCCUUUGCUUGUCUAUCUCUGAUGAUUUCUGCAAGUUCUUCAUCAGAAGCCUCACCAUCAGAGGGCACUUGGAAAGCAACCUGUUUCUUUCUUGGACUUGGCCGAGGACCGCGUCCAGCUGUUGCUUUUGUCUUCAGCAGAGUGGGGCCUGAUGAGGACAUUGGUGCAGCUGAGGAACUCGCUGAGACACCAGAAGCAAUUGAGAAACCCUGAGUCCUUUGACAUGUAGCCAGAUGCACAUGAGUUGAGGACUUGGAGGGAGCUGCCGAGGACUUUGGUGGAGCAGCAGUAGUAUGAGGAAUUUGCCGUGAGGGCGCGGCUGAGGAACUUGGCCAUGAGGGCGCUGAUGGUGAAGCACUUGGCUUGCGAGCAGGCUUCUUCGGCAUUGAUUUCCUCGGCUUGACCGAGGUCUCAGCGGCAGCAGCAGCAGCAACAGAAUCCUCAUUGAAUUUCCUCACUGCCUCCUUGGCUUGUCUUGCCAAUUUUGCUUGGCGCCUAGCCCAUUCUUCAGGAAAGUCUUCACCACUUUUGAUGCUAGUGGGAUCAGCGACUUGGCCAGGUGCCAAUGGAGCUCUUGGGCAUGGAGGAUUUAAGGCGAAUUUCUUCAUGUACUUUGGAGUAACAUAUCGAUAUUCCCUCCAUUCUCGUGCCCAUCUUCGUUCAAUCCUCUGAAUGCGCACUUUGUGCUGAUUCUUGUUUUCUUUGCCAAACUUGGCUUCAUCAGGUGUGCAAUAAUCCUUGUAUAUUUCAUCAGGGAUCUCGAAAGCAGUCAUGACCUCCGGUCUCUUUCCUCCUUUCUGCGGUCUCUUUCCUUCAGCCAUUUUCUUCAGGUGAGGAAUUUGAACAAUUGAACACUCUGAAGAAGUAUGCAGUUUUUCUUCGAGGAACGCUGCAAAUGAGUUAAGUUGAUGAGAACCUAGUGAUUCAGCAGCGGACAUGAGUAACUGUGAACAGAGUGUAGGUGCGAGGAAUUUGGAGAGGUCAUAUGCGUUCUCAGAAGAUUUUUCGAAAAGACAAGUUUUGAGAAAUUUGACCAGUUGAGCCUUGAGGAAUUUCACUAAGCGUUCUUGUCUUAGGUUCCAGAGUUGUACAGAUCGAAAAUCCGCACAAUUGAGGAAUCUUGAAGAAAUGAGUGCUUAGAGAGAUGGAUCAAGAGCAUAUAGUGUGUGAGGUGUUCAUAUGUGAAGAUUUGAAGAAUAAACACCUUUGAGGAUUUCCAGAAGAGUUUGAGAAUCAAAGCGAGUAAUAAAAGUGACUUUUAAUUACCCGAACUGAAGAACACGACGAACAGAGAUGAACAGCGAUGAAGUUCGUCAAGUUAGAUCUCCCACGCCCUAACUUGGCAGAGGGAGACAGCUACGGCGGCGGCGGAGUGAAGAUUUCUGCAGCCGGCGCGAGUACGACGGCGACGAGGUCGAGGCAGUGAAUCUCUUCCUCACCGGCGGCGACGGAGUAGCGGCGGUGCGAGGGUUUGAGGAGAGCUCGAGCGAGAGAUACCGACCGAGCGGAGUAAAUGAAGUAAGGAAGGGGAGAGGGGUAUUUAUAGCUGCGGUAAAAACUGUUCGCCCGAAGAUUUUGGGAUGAACAUGCCCCUGCCCUUUCUUCUUCAUGCGACAUGUGUCACCCACAUACUGUGCAGAUGAGAUCGUGUAAGAUCGUGGGUGAAUAAAAUAAUGCAUCGUGGGAUGCGGAAUGGUUUGAGCGGUAAAACCGAAAAUCUGGAUAAAAUUUGUUUUAAAAUUUCGUUCGCAAUUUCUUCAGCUGACAAGGACACAGUGAAGACUUUGAACGAGUUUCAAUCAGAACGCACAUGAAGAAUUUGUGAAUAGAUUGGGUUGAGUGUAGCAUAGAGGGGGAAGGGUCCGAUCACAUUCACUUAGCAGAAAUCGCAACUUGAAGAAAUAGCAAUAAGUGAAUGCUGUAGAGGACAUAAACUCACACACACAUAUAUAUAUAUAUAUAGCCAAUGAAGAAAAACGACGGAAACAGUGAAGAUUUUGCAAAGUUGAGGAAUUUGAAAGACUGAAGAAUUUCAAAAAUGAGGAAAAACUCAAAUUGAAGAUUUUCAACUUUUGUGGUGGCGUGACCCACCGUAUAAGAAUGAUGAUUUCAGACACCGCGUACAAUUGUCAUAGGGUUCUGAGAAUCAAAUUCUUCAUUAAUUUCUUCACACUUAGAGUGUUAUUCUUCAUUGAUUGAAGAAAAACGUUUCUUCAUGUGUUGCACAUCUAAGUCAUCAAUUCUGCAUAAGGGUUAGGAUGUGUGUCCUCUUCAAAGAACAUUCGAAGAUUCUAAGAUAUUUAGCUCACACCGCAACUUGCUAAAUCUCUUCUCAUUCAAGGGCUUAGUGAAGAUAUCAGCUAGCUGUUCUUCAGUCUUCACAUGCUCGAUGGAGAUGUCGCCCUUCAACACAUGAUCACGAAGAAAAUGAUGAUGAAUCUUGAUGUGCUUAGUCUUCGAGUGCUAAACUGGGUUGUGAGCAAUCUUGAUGGCACUCUCAUUGUCGCAGAGGAGAGGCACAUUCUUCACGUUGACGCCAUAGUCCUUGAGGGUUUGCUUCAUCCAAAGCAGUUGAGCACAGCAUGAGCCAGCAGCAAUGUAUUCAGCUUCAGCAGUAGACAGUGAUACGCAGUUCUGUUUCUUCGAGGACCAACAGACCAAAGAUCGUCCAAGGAAAUGACAAGUGCCAGAUGUUGACUUGCGGUCCACACGAUCACCAGCAUAGUCAGAGUCAGAAUAUCCAAUGAGAUCAAAAGCAGAGCCCUUGGGGUACCAUAAUCCUAGUGUUGGUGUGUGAGCUAGAUAUCGAAGAAUAUGCUUCACAGCCUUAUGGUGUGAUUCCUUCGAUGCAGCUUGAAAUCAGGCACACAUGCAAACACUAAGCAUUAUAUCUGGCCUAGAUGCACAUAAGUACAAUAAGGAACCAAUCAUGGAGCGGUAUACCUUGUGAUCGAAGUCAAUACCAUUUUCAUCAGUGCAUAGAUGACCAUUUGUGGGCAUAGGAAUUUUGACGCCUUUGCAAUCUUGCAUGCCAAAUUUCCUCAGUACAUCUUUGAGGUAUUUCUCCUGAGAUAUGAAUAUGCCAUUGCGCUGCUGACGAAUUUGAAGACCUAAAAAAAAUUUCAACUCUCCCAUCAUAGACAUUUGAUAUUCCUCACUCAUCAUAUAGGCAAAUUCAUCACUAUAACGUUGGUUAGUACAGCCAAAGAUAAUAUCAUCAACAUAUAUUUGGCACACAAACAGUUCACCAUCAUAUGAUUUAGUAAAAAGAGUAGGGUCGAGUGAACCGGGUGUGAAGCCAUUCUUCACGAAGAAUUCCUUCAAUGUAUCAUACCAUGCCCGAGGGGCUUGCUUGAGGCCAUAGAGAGCCUUAUUGAGUCUGAAGACUUUGUCAGGAUUCUUUGGAUCUUCAAAACCUGGGGGUUGAGCAACAUAUACUUCUUCCUCAAGCUUACCAUUGAGGAAUGCACUUUUCACAUCCAUUUGAUAUAAGAUGAUAUCAUGAUGGUUAGCGUAAGCAAGUAAUAUGCGAAUAGCCUCAAGUCUAGCAACAGGUGCAAAAGUUUCAUCGAAAUCAAUUCCUUCAACCUGUGUGUAGCCUUGAGCUACUAAUCGUGCCUUAUUCCUCACCACAAGGCCAUUUUCAUCUUGCUUGUUGCGGUAGAUCCACUUUGUGCCAAUGAUAUUAUGCUUGCGAGGAUCUGGGCGAUUGACCAAUUCCCAGAUAUUGUUCAGCUCGAACUGAUGUAAUUCUUCUUGCAUAGCCUGAAUCCACUCCGGCUCCAGAAAUGCUUCAUCUACCUUAGUGGGCUCUGUGAUAGAGACAAAAGCAUAGUGCCCACAAAAGUUAGAUAAAUGUGAUGCUUUUGAGCGUGUGAGAGGACCUGGUGCGCUAAUGUCAUCGAUGAUCUUCUCCACUUGCACUUCUUUUGCAACGCGUGGAUGUGUUGGUUGUCGCUGAGGAUUUUGAUCAGCAUUUUCUUCAGCACCAUUUUCCUCAUCUUGUUCUUCAGGUGCAUCAGCUCGACAUCCUUCAUGAACAGGAAUGAAUUCUUCAGCGGAUUCUUCACUCGGAAUGACAUCCUCAGUUCCCUUGAGCUUGAUAGCAUCCUCAGGUGCUGCUUCAUCUAACACAGAAGGUAGGUGCUCUCUUUGCGAGCCAUUAGUUUCAUCGAACCGCACAUCUACAGUGUCAACAAUCUUGUGAAGAACAAUGUUGAAGACUCUGUAGGUAUGCGAGUCCUUUCCGUAACCAAGCAUAAAACCUUCAUGUGCUUUCGGUGCAAAUUUAGAGUUGUGGUGAGGGUCUCUAAUCCAACAUUUAGCACCGAAGACUUUGAAAUAACUCACAUUGGGUUUCUUGUCAGUGAGGAGUUCAUAGGCAGUCUUCUUGAAGAAUUUGUGAAGAUAUACUCUGUUGAUGAUGUGGCAAGCAGUAUCAGUUGCAUCAAUCCAAAAACGCUGAGGCGUUUUGUAUUCAUCAAGCAUAGUGCGAGCCAUCUCAACAAGAGUUCUGUUCUUGCGCUCCACGACGCCAUUCUGUUGAGGAGUAUAGGGAGCAGAUAACUCAUGAGUAAUACCAAGUUCAUCAAGAUAUGCAUCAAGACCGGAAUUCUUGAACUCAGUUCCAUUGUCACUUCUGAUAUGCUUGAUCUUCACACCAAAGUUGGUUGAAGCCCUCGAGGAAAAUCGUUUGAAGACUUCCUGCACUUCAUGUUUGUAAGUAACAAUAUGUACCCAUGUAUAUCGAGAAUAAUCAUCAACAAUGACAAAACCAUAUAGAGAUGCAUCAUUAGUGACUGCUGAAUAAUGAUUAGGUCCGAAGAGGUCCAUGUGAAGCAAUUCGAAUGGACGGGUAGUGGUCAUGAUAGUCUUCGCUGGAUGCUUGGCCUUGGUCAUUUUUCCGGCAUCACAUGCUCUGCAUAAGUGAUCCUUGAGGAAUUUGACAUUCUCAAUGCCAAUGACAUGCUUCUUCUUUGCAAGCGUGUUCAGAUUCCUCAUGCCUACAUGACCAAGUCGUCGAUGCCAUAGCCAGCCUUCUGAAGCUUUUGCAAGUAGACACACGGCUGGUUGUGGUCCUGUAGAGAAAUCAACAAUAUACAGAUCUCCUCUCCUAAAGCCUUCGAAGACUUUGGAAUUGUCAGCUUCCAUAAUUACAACACAGUGAUAUUUGCCAAAGACAACAACCAUAUCAAGAUCACAAAGCAUUGAGACUGACAUGAGAUUGUAUCCUAAGGAGUCAACAAGCAUGACUUUGUCCAUGUGCUUAUCCUUAGAGAUAGCAACCUUACCAAGACCCAAUACCUGACUUUUGCCUUUGUCAGCAAAGAUGAUAUGCUUCAGAGGUGAAGGUGAUAAGGGAGCAUCCAUCAAUAGAUUCUUGUCACCAGUCAUGUGAUUUGUACAUCCACUAACGAGGACCCAUUCAGUGGUUUUGGGUUGAUCAUCCUGCAGAUGAAUUAGUGUAACUUACAAUCUCAUAUGCUUCAUCAGUGAAGAAUAUGAUAUCAAGUUCAUCAGAUGAAUUUCAUCAAGCAGUAAACAGAUAUAGCAGUAUUAGGACGUGUGAAAUGAAAGUUCAUUUCAUCAUGAUUCGCCUGUGUCCCUUCAGGAAUUUUUGUCAGGUCCCCAGCAAAUUCUUCAGACGUUAGAGCACAUCUGGAGACCUGACCCUGCAGAAGAGAUUAGUUCUUUUUCUUCACCACCCACAUCUGGAGGGGUGGCAAAGAGUUCAUCAUUCUGCGAGCACCAUAUGAGAAAGGUGACAAAGAUGCCAAAUCAUUUCGCUUCACAUAAGAGGGGUUAGGGUAAGCAUAUGAAUAAGCAGAGUAAUUCUUCGAGGACUUAUGAACAUAAUGGUUUGAAGAAUAAUGCACAUAUUCAUGACCCUUAGCUCUACCCUGCGAGACAGAGUUGUUAGCACGAUGAUAAUCAUAUGAGGACUUUGAUCCAGUUGAGGAAUUUGAUCCAUGUGAAGAAUUUGGUCCAUAUGAGGACUUGGAUCCAUAUGAAGAAUUUGGUCCAUAUGAAGAAUUUGAUCUGGGGUUCCUGUUCUUCACAGGUGGUGUCAUGAGGACAUUCACCUGAAGAUUUUCAACACAACUUUUGGGGACCCAGAUUUUCUUCAUAAGGGAACCGUUCCUGCAGUUAGUGCCAACAUAUCUAGCAAAUACUUCACCAUUCUGAUUUUUGAACAGUUUAUAGUUGGAGUCAAAUGACUCAUCGGAAGAAUGAGGAGAUUCACAUGUAAAGCCAGAUAAGUUAGAUGGAUCAACUGGAGGUCCCUUUGCAGCAACCCAUGAGGUUUUGGGGUACUGCUCAGGCUUCCAAUAUGUUCCAUCGGCAUUGAGUUUCCUCUCAAAGGCAAUACCCUCUUUCCUAGGGUUUCUGUUGAGGAUUUGCUUUUUGAGCACAUCACAAAGUGUCUGAUGCCCUUUGAGGCUUUUGUACAUGCCUGUCAUGUACAAUUCCUUCAGCCCUGCAUUGUCAGUGAUACUAGCAAUGUCCUCAGGUGAGGAAUUAGUGAUAGCAGAGACAGAUGAAGAAUUUGUAAUAGUUGAAGCAUUUGAACAUUCAGGUGAAGAAUUAGCAGAUUCACGUUCAAUGCACUUUAAGCAUGGAGGAACAAAUUCUUCCUGAGAAGCGCUGAUUUGUUGAGCUAGUAAUGAAUCGCGCUCCUUCUGAAGAUCUUCAUAACACACUCUUAGCUUUUCAAGAUCUUCCUUUCUUUGAAGAGAUUCAAGAGAAAGCUUCUCGUGAUCUGUCAAGAGGGUAUUAUGUUGAUCUUGAAGGGCGUCAAGCUUGGAGUGAAUUCUCUGAAGACAUUCACCCAAUGCUUUUGACUGAUCCAUUUCUUUGCGCAACAUAUUAUCACUCUUUUCUAGCAUAUCUUGAGUUUGUUCUAAAACCGUUUGUUGUUUAGUGGCAAUGCAAAUAAGUUUGGUAUAGCAGGAUUCAAUAUCAUCAUCAGAUUCAUCAUUGUCAGAUUCAUCAUUAUCAGAUUCAUUAUCACAAGACUCUGAUGAGGAGCAUUCGGUUACCUCAGCACCGUUUGCCAUGAGACAAGAUGCAGAAGAUGAUGAUUCUGACUCGAAAGUCAUCGUUUUGAGAGAUUCCUUGAAGUCCUCAAACCAGGGAUCAUGACGAGUUCGAUGACCUUCAUAGACAUCAGAGAAUCGGUCCCAGAUGAGCUUCGAAUUGCCAAGAUGCAUAAUUCGCCCGAAUUGAUCUCUAGAUAGGCAGGAGCAGAUGAUAUCCUUCGCUAUGAUGUCAAGUCGAGUGUACUUGCGAAUAUCAUCAGCAUUCGCCAUCUUGCAUAGAUCAGUAAGACCAAUCUCAGUGACGGUCCACAGCUCGCUGUUCUUUGCCAUGAGACGCUUCCUCAUCAUGGCCUUCCACUUGGGAUAGUCAUGACCGUCAAAGAUAGGGCAUGUCACUUUCUUCAUACCUGCGGUCGACAUAACUAAAACUCCAGGCGGUUAAACCAAAAUCACACAGAACAAGGGAGUACCUUGCUCUGAUACCAAUUGAAAGUGCGUUAUAUCGACUAGAGGGGGGGUGAAUAGGCGAUUUUUAUGAAUUCUUCACUGAGGAAUUUGCUGGUGAGGAAAUUCCUUAGCGAAGAACUACUUGCAGCGGAAUGAGUACUCAGAAGUAAACAUAACAGGAUACAAACAUAGUCAUCAUGAUGAAAUGAAGACUAGCACAGAGUACAGAAAGCGUAAACACAGGAUAACAAGAUGAAGACAAACAGACUGAAGAAAUUGAACUGAGGAAUUUGUGAAAGUCUUCAGUCAAAGUCUUCAAACACAGAUAUGAACAACAUACAACACAGUCAUGAGGAAAUGAAAGAGUUGAGGAAAUAGAACCAGUUAGUUGAUGAAGACAAUGAUUUGGUAAACCAGUUCCAACUGCUGUCUCAGUUGUACGUCUGGUUGGAGCGGCUGAGUAUUUAAACUCGAGGACACGCAGUCCCGGACACCCAGUCUCUGAGCCGCAACUCAGGACACCCAGUCCUCACCGUAUUCUCCUUGAACUAAGACCACGCAGGCCUCGUCCAAUCACUCGUGGUAAGUCUUCAGGUGACUUCUAAACCUUCACAGACUUGGUCACUCGGCGAUCCACAAUUCCUCUUGGAUGCUCUAGACCUUGAUGCCUAACCGUCUGGAAGAAGCACAGUCUUCAAAGGUAACAAGCGUCGGAUCCACGCAGGAUCAAUUUCUUCAGUGAUGCUCAAUCACUUUGGGUUUGUGGGGGUUUGGUUUUGGGAUUUUCCUCACUUGAUGAUUUUCGCUCAAAGUCCUCGGAGGAUGGGUUGCUCUCAAAUGACAAGUGUCAAGUUCUCUCGGAGCAGCCAACCAACUAGUGGUUGUAGGGGGCGGCUAUUUAUAGCCUAGGGAGCAGCCCGACAUGAUAAGACAUAAAUGCCCUUCAAUGAUAUGACCGUUAGGUGGAUAAGAUAUUUUGGACAGCCGGCGCGCAGCACAGCAACGGUCGGAAAUUUGACUCUCAAAUUCCUCAGGGCUAUCAUGUUCCUCACUAUGUAGGCAAUUCGCACAGGCAAAUUCCUAACUCCUCAGUCAGAGCAAAGUCCUCAGUGACCAGAAGAACUGCGUCUCUGUCACUGAAGAAAUUGACUGAACUGUAUGAGAUUUCCAAUGGCUUCACUCGAAGGGAUUGGUAGGUGUAGGAUUUUGAGUUGAGCAUCACAUGGAAAUUUUUCCUUAGUAUUUCCUCGACCCCCUUUAACAGUACGGUGUUUCCUAUGACUCAAGAAAGAGAAAAUGAAACUACGAAAACAAAAGUCUUCACGCUCCAUAUUCCUCGAAUGAAUACCAAGUCUUCAAGGUCACACCAAUUUCUUCACUUUCAAAGUCUUCAGAAAGUCUUCAGAAUAUCAAAGUCUUCAGUCGAAGAACUUCAUUUUUAGGGGUCGACUUUCUCUGUAAAUAUCAAACUCCUCAUAGACUUAUAGACCUGUGUACACUCACAAACGCAUCAGUCACUUACCUAUAAGUCUUCAAUACACCAAAAUCACUAAGGGGCACUAGAUGCACUUACAGAAGGCAAAAAAAAUGAAAAAAAAUUAUGAAAUAGUUUUGUGAAAACAAAUUUACCCAUUGCAUUUGCCAUGGUGUAGAAAAGGAAUUUACCAUGGUUUUGUUCAACAAAUGUGUACAAAGAAACACAGUUAUCAUGAUUUGUUCGGCAAUAUGAAAACAAAUUUGCCCAUGGAAUGUUCAAAAUAUUUUUCAUGGUGUACAAAAGGAAUCUACCAUGGUUUCUUCAAAAAAUGUCUUCGAAAAAGUAUUUUUACCAUGGCUUGUUCAACAAAUUUGCCAUGUUCCAAAAAUAAUGAAUAAAAUUUACCAUGGUCUAACAAGUAAAAAAAUUCUAUGGUCCAACAAAUAUUCUCGCCCUACUCCACCAACAUCGGGGGCCUCGCGCCGCCUUCGAACGCCAACUACGCCAUGUCUCUGGUAUGUUCACACCUGUGUUUAGGGAAAAUACGAGUAGUUUAGAAAUACAUGCUAAUGUUUCUUAGUUUUAUUUCUGUUUAGGGUAAAUAUAAGUACAAAUUUGAUUGAUAUUUUACGCAGGUUAAAUUUGAGUAUUAUGUCUUACUGUUAUUUGUGCCUAGAGUGAAUACGAUCGACUAAUUUAGAAAUAAGAUACAUUGUAGUGUGGUUGUCUUAUAUUUGCAGGUAUUGACAUGAGUGCCAAUGUUCUCACGAAACGUUGAUUUAUUUCUGUUUUAUUCAAUUUCUGGCACUUGUUAUGUCCUCUUUUUAGCAAGGGUCAUGUCGAAUUUUUUCUUGCAUAUUCCUCCUAGGAUCCAUUGUAGUGUGGUUGCCUUAUAUUUGUAGGUAUUGACAUGAGUGCCAAUGUUUUCGCGAAAUGUUGAUUCAUUUCUGUUUCGCUGAAUUUCUAGCACUCGUUAUGUCCUCUUUUUAGCAAAGGUCAUGUUGAAUUUUUUUUCUUUCAUAUUCCGCCUAGAUACAUUGUAGUGUGGUUGGCUUAUAUUUGCAGGUAUUGAGAUGAGUGCCAAUGUUUUCGCGAAACGUUCAUUCAUUUUUGUUUCGUCGAAUUUCUGGCACUCGUUAUGUCCUAAUUCUAUAUACCUAAAAGAUUCAUGAGUGCCAAUGUUUUCGCGAAACAUUGAUUCAUUUUUGUUUCGUCGAAUUUCUGGCACUCGUUAUGUCCUAAUCCUAUAUACCUAAGAGAUUCAUCCCCACUAUCAUAUUUAUCUUGACAUGCAAGCUAUCCACAUCAUCAAGUAGGUCCAUCAUUUAAAAAUUCUUUUCCACUGACUCUUCAUGCGCAUGCAGUCUACCACAAAUAAUCAUUAACUAUUUUUCUCAUGCACUCUCAAGCAAGCACGCCAUCCUAUGUCUCUUUUGCUAUUUGUAUAUGUAUUGACGUCAUCCGAGCUGCUCCAAACGUACAUCAUGAGUCCCCGUCCUAUCAUUUGGUUGGACUUCAAGUGUUGUUAAUGCUCUCUUUUGAUUCUGAAAGCUCGAACGACUGUCUUUUUUUCAUCCUCAUUCUCUUGCGCUUUUGUCCAUGUCUCUGUUGCUCCUCAGAGGUCAGAGAAAUUGCAUUAGAUGCAUUCGGUCCCUCAAACCUCCAAUGUUCUAAGCAUCCUUUUAAUAUCAAUUUGAUUCCAUUGCUCACGGAGCGGUGGCUCAUCAAGUUUUUCCUUUUAAAGAACCCACUAUUCCCAUGCAACCUUUUAAUCCCAAUUUUAUUCAUUUGCAUACGCCCAAAGCUAAUCAGAACUUUUUAUGACGGAACUAAAGUUCACCUAAUGGGGUGGCAUGCAUGGUUGCGCACGAGACAAGUUAAACAAAAAAAAACUUUGUUCCCUCAAACCUCAAGUGUUCUAAGCAUCCUUUUAAUCUCAAUUUAAUUUCAUUGCCUACAAAGUGGUAGCUCAUCAAAUUUUCUUUUGAAAGAAUCCACUAUUCCCGUACAACCUUUUAAUCCCAAUUUUAUGCAUUUGCAUACACCCAAAGCUAAUCGGACUUUUUUUAUGACGGAACUAAACUUCACCUAAUGGGGAGGCAUGCAUGGUUGCGCACCAGACAAGUCAAAAUAAAAAAAUAAUUUCCUCGGUAUAUUGUGGUGAAUGAGCGACCUCUGUAAGUGACCUUUUUUAAUAGAAAAUCAAAUUAUGAGUGAACUCGCAUUUUAUUUUACUAUACAAGCUCUGUUUUUUUUAAUGAAUGCACAUAUAUAGUUGAUAUUGUUGUUUUUGGUUUAGCCAAGAAUGAGAUGUCUCCACUGUCUCUACGCAGUGCUGUUUUCACUUCAUAAUGCAUCACUGAUAUAUUGUCAAGGUAAUAAAUUAAUAGGGCAAAAGUCACACCUAUUUUCAGUUUUCAUCAAAAUUCCUACAAAUGCUUACUCUAAACAAUAUUUCUUCCAAACAAAUUCUUUACAUCUACUUAUACUAUCUUUCAUAUACCUUUUAUGUUUUUAAACAUUAAAUUAUUCAAUUAAAAUUCCUGCAGCAAUGCGCGAGUUAUCAUCUAGUUUUAGUAAAGGUCAUGUCAAAUUUUUUCUUUCACAUUUUUCCUAGUAUCCAUUCUAGUGUGGUUGGCUUAUAUUUGUAGGUAUUGACAUGAGUGCCAAUGUUUUCAUGAAACGUCGAUUCAUUUUUGUUUCGCCGAAUUUCUGGCACUCACUAUGUCCUCCUUUUAGCAAAGGUCAUGUCGAAUUUUUUCUUUCAUAUUUUGUUUGUUAUGCUUUAUGACUCAUCAUUGCCACACUAAAUUUUAGCAAACACAACAAAUGGAUUCCGGAGAACCAUCUUCUAUGGACCACACAGUUAAGCUCGUAUAAAGGGCAGAACUCGAAAGAUGAAAUCAGCCAAUGAACCUAUCGCCAAUAAGGCACCAAAAGAAGAUGUGGUGAAUAUUUCAGCCGGUUCAUGCAUAUGGCGAAUGUUUAAGCCUGGUCAACUGAUGUUACUCCAACACAAGUUUAGUGCCCUAAGCAUUGAAACUCAGUUUCUACACAAAGACGUAGUACGUCAGGAAAGGGCGAGAUGUAUUACACGGCCAAUGUUAUAGACAGUCUUGGAUUUGUCGACGUGCUCCCUGCUGAUAAAAUAUAUCUCGGGUUUGAUAGUGCGGUAAACAUCAAUAUUUUUCUAUGUGGACGUAGUCAGGUCGUGCUUAAUGAGGCUUUGGUCGCUCUGGCAUGCUACAAAUUCAAUACUCCAGAAUAGAGAAGUUGCCUUCCUUUAUCUGUAUCUCAUGCGUUUUGCCGUGCAUUAUGAUAAAGGCCAGUACGACACUGAGACUUGCCUCCACCGGACCAUUCUUCAUAGUCCUUGGACAAGGAUAACUUUAUCGUGCCUUACUUUGAAAUGCAAGUUCAUUCCUUUAUGCUUUCACAUAUGCCUGACUACUUCGAUGUCAAUCUCAUUCUUUUACAUUGUUCAUUUGUUUAGCGCAACAAUGAACACUGGAUCGUUAUCGCACUAAUGCCCCGGGACGGCCGAGCUUAUUUCUUUGAUUCCAGGAGAGACCCUAACAAGCUGUGGACCGAUCUAAAGUAAGUUCUCAAUGCUGCUCUUUUGAUGUUUCAUAAGUCCGACCAUAAGAGCAUGCCACAUUCACACUACAAAUUUCACACCAGCUUCUUGUCGGCAACAACCGAAAGACGAAACCAUGCACAUAUCUGGCUACUAUGCCAUGGACCUCAUGGAUGACUAUGUGCGCGCAUGACCACUUUUGAGAAGUCAUUCAAUGUUGCAGGUGCGAAGAGAAUGAGAAGGAAGUUAGGCUAACUCACUUUUGGGCAGAGCAUGAGCGCCUUCACAGGGUGCUCGCGAAUAUCAUCAAUCAAUGUAGCCAGGGAUGAGGGGAUGUUCUACUGCGGAGCAGAGAUGUAAGAAGAACAAGAGUUGAGAAUGAAACAUCAAAAUGCCGACGGAUGUUUUCGCUAAAGGAUAUAUAUGCUCCUUUCGAAAGAGUUAAAUAGUCCGGAGGUGCCUUAAGUUGUCUGGCACGGUCAUGUUGGUGCCCAAAGUUGUAAAAUACGUGAAAUUAGUGCUAUAACUUGUCCUAUGAUGCAAAUACGGUGCCUACGUACGUAUCCGAGUGUACGUCCUGCCCAUGUGGCCUUGGCCCACAUGUCAGUGGAUGACAGCUGAUGAGGUGUGCGUGAGAACUUUUUUGCAAAAAAUACCCGCAUAUUCUUUUAGUAAUAAUUACAUAAGAAAGCCAAAUAUGGGUCGCACGUGUCAGUCUGUUAAUACCGCAGAAAAACAAACUGCCUCGCUGAUGGGUUUGAAAAAUGGGACGUCCAGGUUCAAAACCUGCACGCUAGCCACCGGGUAGAAGACUACUAUAAGUACAACUGCUAGAAAAAAAGAAAAAUUCUGACCGGCGCUCUGCAAUCUCCUUUUAUGUUAUUUACCUUUUUUUUCAAUUUACUACUGUUUAGUCAUAUAUAAAUUACAACAAUUAUGAAUAUUUGAUUAUUGUCUAUUUUAAAUCUUUAUUAUAUUUUCAUUAUUGUGUAGGUUGAAUAGGUAAACAUGAACAUUUUCAAAAAUUUAUGUGAAUUUAAACAGUUCAAUGUAUAUUAUAAAAUAUUGUAAAUGUGUUAAAACAUGUUAAACAUGUUUGUAGAAAUUUUAAAUUCUGUAAAUGUGUUAAAACAUGUUUGUAGAAAUAUAAAAAUAAGUUUAUACAAUGAUUUUUUAAUACACCUUGAACAUUUUUUAACUAUAUGUUGUCAAUUUUUUGAAUGCAUGACAUACUUUUUUAAAACACAUUUACAAUUUCUUAAUACAGCUGAGACUUUUCCAAAAAUAUGUUGAACAUUUUUUUCUAAUGCACUAACAUUUUAUUUAAGUUAAUGGCAGUUCUAGUAUUUUCUUUCAUUUAUUUUUUAUGAGGAAAAUAAUAUAGAAAUAAACAUGAAGUUGAAAAAUAAAUAAAAAGAAACCUUGUCCGAGCCAACAAUAUAUUAAAAAAGUUUGAAAAGAUAAAUACCAAUGCGACAUCUAUAAGUUGAAUAUACGAGGGUUUCCUGUAAAAAGAAUGCUCAUGCGCGGGCCAUCCACCGACAUGUGGGACAUGGCCGCUUUGGCAUGCCACGUAGUAGGACAUACACGUGAAUACAUACAGACACACCGCAUUUGCACCAUAGGACAAGUUAUAGCACCCGUUUUGUGUAUUUUAUAACUUUGGGCACCAAACUGACCGCACAAGACAAGUUAAGGCACCACUGGUGUAUUUAACUCCUUUCGAAAAACUUGUCAAACUUUAAAUUAGGUCAUAACACAAUGCUUGUUGUCUUGCAUUACUGUAUUAAUUACCUUGUGAUCUUUAGUUUAUAUGUACGUGUGUCGUAUGUUCUUAUGAAUUACCUUGUGAUCUAUAGUUUAUAUGUACGUGCAUAUGUUUAUAUGUACCCUGUGAUCUUUUCUACAUGUAUAUAUUUUGAAUGUUAUUGUGUGCUAAAAAUAACGGAUGGGACCGCAAGAAGAAUUGUGGGAGAGGGUCUCUGCAGCCGACGUGGAGAAGCACUAUCUAUGGACGCAACAUCGGGCAGAGCACCUUAGAGAGGCGACGUUAUCUUGGGUCAGAAAUGUUCCAACGGCCCAGUGUUCUCUAGUGAUGGAGAAGAUAUCAGAGAGGCGGUUCAAUGACCUCGCGGUCUGCAUCCCGACGAAGGCGCCCCCGGAUGAGAGGUUGAGGAUCUGGCCAGGUUUGAGUCCAACCACCAUACCCACGCCGGGUGAGGUAGUUAAAUGGGCUCUUCGAGAGACCAAAUCUCCGAUUCCAGAGCAAGCGGCCCGAUGGUUCCUGUUCGUUCCAUCCACUAGUCAUUCAUAUAGUAUGUACGGGUUCUAGUAACACUCUACGUGUUGAACAUCGCCCGACACUCUUUCACUCCUAAACAUCUCGUCAAACGGUGAUGAGCUACAUAUGCUUGUUAUUGUAAUGCACUUGUCGUAAUCCAAUGAUCCAAUUUAGGUGCAUUAUGCUGCAAUAGCAUCAACUCAUCAUAGAUUAGUACUAGUGGCGGACGGAACAAAGCGCCUACAAUUGCUAAAUUAAAUUUCGGUGGCAGGCGAAGACAGACGCCCGCCACUUCUAGUGUGCUAUCACUGGCGAGCGAGCGCCCGCCACUGAUGGCAUGUUAGUAGUGGCGGACGCCCCUGAGAGUCUUGCCUGUCAUUGGUAGUCUUUUUAUGCCUGUCGUGCUAGGCAUUCCUACAGUAGUGUGUCAGGGCACAAGGUUGGAUGACCGACUCCCACCUCAUUCCACGUGCCCGCCCGGUCUGCACACAAACAUGCCGUCGUUUUGAGAGCGGAGAUGCCCUAAGUCUUGUUGUGACAAAUAUAAAAACAAAUGUGUGAGAAUCUUGUGUCUUUACGUAUGACAUAUGUCCUAUCUGUUGAAGUUUUUCAUAUUGGGAAAAGACAAUGAUCCCAUCUCCCUAUGCACUGACCAAAAAUGGCGGUUAAUUUAGACGAAAGUAGGUAAGUAUGCGUAAAGAAAUUGCAGUUACCGUUGUUUUCCUCGUCGUGGGGCAGAGCGUGUGCUUAGCCGAAAAAUAUAUUUCUCUCACUCUCUCUCCCUCUUGAACACUUGCAUUGUGUCGACUCAUCUGGUAAAGCAAGUAUAUUCAUGAGUGCAACUAUCUAGCAAUCCAGAGACAUAGCUUGGGGUACGCACGUGAAGCUAGCUCCGGGAGAGCCGCGAGAGCCGCCGAGACGGAUCUGUGACGGCGAUCGGAUAUACGGAUUGGUUCAGAUCAGAGACGGUGAUGAGCACGCGGGAUCCAUCUCGGCGGCUCUCGCGGCUUGGCGAGGCGGGGUGGGAGCCCUCCUCCUAGGCUCCAGUGGUGGCACACUCCGGCAGUGGCCGGUGCGCCAGGGCUCCUACGGUGGCGCUGCUGUUGCGGUUGGUUGUCGGAUCUAGGCAGCUAGAUCUGGGGCUUUGAAGGCGGUCGAGACGGUGCACAGGUUGUCGGGUUGAUUACUUGGGACGGAUCCGGGUGAAAAAAGCCCGGUCUUCGGUCGAUGGCCGGAGCCGGUGAUGACGAUGCCCUUAUCAUCGUUUCCUUCAUGAAGGCAUCAUCGAGGUGAAGCUCCCAACUCCACUCAAUACCUCCGGGGAAAACCCUAAAUCAGUUGAUCGGAUGUUGGGGGCAAUCAUGUGUCGUUACCCCCUUGGAGGCGGCAUUCUUGGAGGUGCACUCGGCCUCCUGGGACCAGCAGACGGUCUCUUCGGCGGAGCGGUGUUUCUCUCUACAUAUCCAUGGCGGCGGGUCUCGGCGGCGUGGAGCAGUGGAGGCUCGACGUUCGAUGUGUGGCAAUGGACACGCGCAGGAGGAGGACGCUGUCUGGCGGCGUGGUGGCGUCGAUGCAGAGCGGCCUGGCAAGGUCGGUGCGUCAGUUAUGCUCUAAGGAUGGAUCGAUGGAAGAUGGAGAUGACGGUCCUUGCAGCGUGCGGUGCUUACUGGGAGUGUGCCGGUUCGGUGUGUGACCCAGUCCAGGUAGUUGCUUGGAUGGGGCAUCCGGCUUUAAAUGUUAUGCUUUGGUGCGAUGUUUGUUUGGUAUUAGGCCCGGACGUUCGGCACGCUUUCAUCAAAGGGAUAGGAGUAGCAACAGUUGUUGCCAAGAUGGUGGCUUCAGACUAAUUGAUGUAAUACCUUGUAUGGUCCUGGUGAAUAAUUAAUAAAAUGGUUGCAUGCAUCAUUCUGAUGCAGAGGGCGGGGAUACAUCCUCCUUUUCUAAAAUAAUAAUAAUAAUAAUAAUAAUAAUAAAGUAGCUAGUUCGGUAAAAAAAAAGUGUAUCCUGGUUAUGUACUGAUGCGUUCAAUGAACUCUCUCUGAUUAAUUGAUAACACCCAUAUGAUGCGCAUCAGUCCAUGCGGAGUGACCUCCUUUCCCGAAAACACACACACCAAAUAUGCAUCAGAAAUGGCCUUCAGGCCAGGUUGAUGUGCUCGUAAUCCCACAAAUUGCAGUCACAAAGUACAUGUGAAAUAUUUGAUUAAUUCUAUUUUUACCCUAAGUUUCAAGUUUGUGACUGCCAUUACCUCAUCUAGCAGAUUUUUCACAUUUUUACUCUAUUAAGCAAACCUGUGUGCCACAGUUUACCCCUUUAAGAAAUGUCGAAAAUCUGCUAAAUGGGGCAUGUGUUGUCACACACAUGAAACUUAGGGGUAAAAAGUGAAAUUAACUAUAAUUAUUUUUGGAUUGAGUAAACUCAUUAUGCUGUCAUAAUGAGAUUCCAUUUGAUGUUAAAUGGAUAAUUAUCAGGUAUACAAUGGUACCAGCUUCAGUAUACCUGGGUUUUACUGCGGCAAUCAUUUGGGUUGGGAAGGUAAUCAUAUUGAUUUCCAAUAAGCUAUUUAUCUUCAUUUCUCUCCGGCUCACAUACAUACCUUUCACAAUGCAGGGCACAUAUCUUACCUCUGCUGCCCUCAGUCAUGCAAGAGACAAUAAUCUACCUGAUGGCCCGGCUGUAGGAAGAUUUAAUGGAGAGUUCUGGGGAGUGUUCGCUAGUACGCAGGUACAGAAAAGAUGUGAAAAACAAACUAUUUCUAGCCGAAGUUAACAUGGAAACAUAUGCUUCGGUAUUUUUUUCCAUACCUCGAGUGUUUUUCUUUUCUUUUCGAAAAGGUGGUGUACCCCGGACUCUGCAUUAACUGAUGCACACAACCAUCAUACCUCAAGUGUAGCUUCUAUUCUUCUUGCACAUAAGAAACAUACCCUCUACAGUUACAACGGUACAAUGAUCUCCGACUUGGUGACUUGUGCUACAUCUGAAUUAUGCAGGUCAUUGGAAAUCUGAUCUCAUUUGUUGUACUGCGAAAUAGAAAGGUUGGUAUCUUAAUUCAGAGUGUUAUUAGAAUCCUGUGGACUGCAAUUUACUUGCACAACAUAUGUAGUCAUCUUGUUUGAUCCUUCACUGUCAUAUCACGUCAGGGUGGCGGAACUGUAACAGGAAAAAAUCUGUUGUUUCUUGUGUUCCUUGGCUGCACGGUUAUCGGCAUUGUAUUAAUGUGUUUACUGUCCAAAAGAGAUGAGAAACAAGAUCAUUCUUCAGCACACUCAUCGUUUGGAGAUAUGUUGAAGUGUAUUGUCGCCCCUCUCAAGGACAAAAGGAUGCUUCUUUUAAUUCCUCUUAUGGCAUAUUCAGGUUUACAACAGGCAUUUGUAUGGUAAGUUUCCCCCCAAAAGAGUUCGCCAUGCACGGUGGUUCAUUUGUUAGUGUGCUUUUUUUUAAGAAUAUGUUGUGGAUUUCUUAGGGCUGUAUUCACAAAGAGUAUUGUGACACCUGUGCUUGGCCUAUCUGGAAUCGGCGGCGCCAUGGCAGUAUAUGGUGUAGCUGAUGUAGUUGUAAGUGAAACUAUUAAACCUGAAGUCAACAGUUCAUGCUUCCCAAUAGAUUAUUUAAUCUUCAAUUGGGUCACUCAUUCAUUCUAAACUACUGAAAAAGACCAUGAUGUCUGCUUGCCUGAGUUUUGAAGCUUGUCGAACAUCGCAGUGUUCAUUGGUUGCUGGACGUUUUACUUCUGGGCUUCAGUCAGCUACAUUUGUAGUGUCAGUUGGAGCUAUUCUUCAGGCUGCUGUCCUCUUCUGGCUGCUUCUCUUUUACCAGUUUGAUUUCUUUGCUCGCCCUCGUGCAGUUUCUGCUAUUUUCGGUGCACUCAUCUUUGUCUUCCGUGCAGCCCAAUGGGCAGAUUACUUGGCGCAGCGGCUCCACUAUUGAUAGGUGCCUUAUGGGGUGUUGGUAACGGAGUCCUGAACACACAGCUAAGUGCUUUACUUGGGCUGCUCUUCGAGGAUGUCAAGGUAAUCUUAGUUACGUACAUGAUAAUGCUUGAUUUAGUUUGCUCUCUUAUAGUAGUAAUUUUCAUCCUGUCAAUGAAUGCACCAAAUAUGUAUGGAAAAAUAAAAAAAUGCAGGAGGCGGUUUUUGCGCAGUUUAGGGUCUGGCAAUCAGGUGCCAUGGCAGUCAUCUUCUUCCUCAGCCAAGUCAUCACACUGCAAGCCAUGCUUAUCUUGUCCACAUCGCUCGUCGUCUCUUUUGCCUCCUUCCUGACUGUAGAAGACUAUAGGAUGCAACUCAAUUGUAUUCCAUCGGAGUCGGUUACAUUAUAUACAAGAGGUGUCUUGCGUGACAAGCCAACUAACUCUAUAAUAUCUCUAGAGAUCAAUCUAUACAAGGCUAGAGAUAAGAGGAGAAUCAGUCGGAAAUAAAUACAAGGAUAUCACGUUUCAACACCCCCCCGCAGUUGAAGCGUCGGCGUCGUCGUCGGCGUCGGCGAUGCAAAGACUGGAACGGAACUCCUGGAAUGCAGCGGUAGGCAAUCCCUUGGUCAUGAUAUCGGCGAACUGUUGGGUGGUCGGUACAUGAAGUACACGGAGCUGACCCAACUGAACCUUCUCACGGACAAAGUGAACAUCGAGCUCGAUGUGUUUAGUGCGCUUGUGCUGCACCGGAUUAGCCGCGAGAUAGGUGGCCGAUACGUUAUCACAGAAGACCACAGUAGCCUUCGGAAGAGAAAUCCGAAGCUCACCAAGAAGAUGACGAAGCCAACAAGUCUCUGCAACAACAUUGGCGACAGCACGGUACUCAGCCUCAGCACUCGAACGGGAAACAGUGGGCUGCCGUUUAGAGGACCAAGAGACCAAGGAGUCACCGAAGAAGACACAAUAUCCAGACGUGGAGCGACGAGUGUCUGGACAGCCAGCCCAAUCCGCGUCAGUAUAAGCGAGGAGCUCAGUCGAGGCGGAUGCACGGAGACGAAGACCGUAGGUCGGAGUGCCACGAAUAUACCGAAGAAUGCGCUUGACCAAAGACCAGUGGACAUCACGAGGCGAGUGCAUAUGCAGGCAAACUUGCUGGACUGCGAACUGAAUGUCUGGUCUGGUGAGCGUGAGGUACUGAAGGGCGCCCACAAUACUGCGAUAAAGAGCAGCGUCGGUGGCAGGCUGGCCGGCGGAGGCUGAGAGCUUCGGCUUGGCCUCAGCAGGUGUGGCGGCUGGUUUGCAGUCAGUCAUGCCGGCACGGUCCAGAAGAUCAAGAGCAUACUGUCCCUGAUGCAGAAAGAACCCAGUGUCAUCACGUCGCACAUUAAUGCCGAGGAAGAAGUGCAAUGCGCCGAGAUCCUUCAGUCGAAACUCAGAACCGAGGCGACCAAUGAUGUCGCGAAGAAGAUCCGUGCGGGAGGCAGUGAUGACAAUAUCAUCAACAUAGAUUAGAAGCAUAGCCACAUGAUCAGCCCGAUGCAGCACGAACAGGGACGUGUCAGAUGUAGUGCUGCGAAACCCAAGAAGACCAAGGAAUCCGGCGAUGCGCUGGUACCAAGCGCGCGGAGCCUGUUUGAGGCCAUAUAAGGACCGGGACAACAGACAAACAUCAUCCGGCCGCUGAGGGUCAACGAACCCAGUGGGCUGCUGACAGAGGACUCGCUCCUGAAGAUGGCCAUACAGAAAAGCAUUGUUGAUGUCGAGCUGAUGGACGGGCCAGUGACGAGAAGCAGCCAGCUGAAGCACCACACGAAUCGUGGCGGGUUUGACGACCGGAGAAAAAGUCUCAGAGAAGUCAACGCCAGCACGUUGUGCAAAUCCGCGGACAACCCAGCGAGCCUUGUACCGAUCCAGUGAGCCAUCCGGAUGGAGUUUGUGACGAAAAACCCACUUGCCCGAGAUGAUGUUGGCUCCAGGAGGACGAGGAACAAGGGUCCAGGUCCGGUUGGCGACGAGAGCAUCGUACUCAGCUCGCAUAGCGGCGGUCCAAUGCGGAUCACUCAACGCAGAACGCACCGAUCGCGGAACCGGAGAGAGGGUCGUGACGCUGAGGUUGUGGUAGCGCGGGUUCGGCUGGUGCACACCGGCCUUGGCACGCGUCACCAUAUGAUGGUGAGGUGGCGGAGGAGGUGGGCGUGGACCGCGACGCCGAGGCACCACAGCGACCGGCUCAGAUGACGAAGAAGAAGCCGGCGCUGUGACGGGUGUCAAGGGCCCGGCCGACGGGGCCGAGAGGGUCGGCUCCUCCAGAGCCGACAGGGAGCCGGAGUGCGCACGCUCGGUCGGCGAUGUGGGCGUAGAGGAGCCCGAAGAGCCCGGCUCCGCCUGAGCCGACGAGGCCCCUGAUGGUCCGGCUGGGGUGGCGCCCGACUCCACCAGAGUCGGGGGGCGACGACCCAACGAGGCCGGGGGGACGGGCUCCUCCAGAGCCAAGAGGCGGGGGCCCGGCGUGGCCGGGGAGGCCGACUCCUCCCGAGUCGGCAGAGGGAACGCCGAGGGCGGCGAGGCAGCACGCGACGAAGGCGCAGCCGCGCCCGAACGGCGAGGCGGUGGGAGCGCAAGGGCUCCACGAGGCCUGCGAGGAGAGGUGUCCAGAGGUGGCGAGGGACGCGAUGCAGCCUGCUGAAACGAAAAAACAACCUCAUCAAAAUACACGUGCCGAGACACGAUCACACGAUGGGACUCCGGGUCGUAGCAAUGGAAACCUUUGGUGUUUGGUUGGUAGCCAAGAAAAACACAAGCGAUAGAGCGAGGCGCAAGCUUGUGCGGUGUCGUGGCGGUGAUAUUGGGAUAACAAAGGCAACCGAAAACAUAAAGAUCAUCGUAUGACGGAGGUGACCCAAAUAAGAGGUGAUGAGGGGUGUAGUUCCACCGAGGUUUGCAAGGCCGGAUGUUAAGGAGAAGGGUAGCUGUGGCGAGCGCAUCGGGCCAAAACCUCGCCGGCAUGUGUGCGUGGAAGAGCAAGGCGCGAACACUCUCGUUAAGAGUGCGGAGAACACGUUCGGCACGACCAUUUUGCUGAGAUGUGUAUGGACAUGUGAGACAAAAAAUUGUGCCAUGAGAGGAUAAAAGAGUGCGAAUGGCGAGGUUAUCAAAUUCUUUUCCGUUGUCGGUUUGGAGGUGAGCAAUGGUGCGGUGAAAGUGGGUGGCAACAUAGGCGUAAAAGGCAUGAAGAGAGGAAGCGACGUCGGAUUUGCGGCGCAACGGAAAGGUCCAAGUAAAGUGAGAAAAAUCAUCCAAAAUGACAAGGUAAUAUGAUAAACCCGAGUUGCUAGGCACGGGAGAUGUCCACACAUCACAAUGAAUAACAUCAAAAGGGAAAGUAGCAAUGGAUGAUGAAGUUGAAAACGGCAAACGAACGUGUUUUCCUACGCGACAGGCAUGACAAGUGUGUGCUGCCGAUUUAUUACAUGAAAAGGGAAAAGUCUGCAAAAUUUUAUGAAGAGCGUCGGCGCCGGGAUGGCCAAGGCGAGCAUGCCAGAGAGACUCAUCGGCGUGGAGGGCGACGGGACCACUGCUUGUCGUUUGGCCACACGGGUAAAGAUCGCCGGGGGAGUCACAUCGGUGCAGAACCUUCCGGGAGUGGGCAUCCUUGACAGAAAAACCAUGUUUGUCAAACUCAACAGUAACAGGAUGUUCACGAGUAAGAGUGCGGACAGAACAUAAAUUUUUGAUUAAGGAUGGAGACACAAGUACGUUAUGGAGAGGGAGGGAAGAUGAUGAGAGAGGGAGGGAGGAUGCACCGUGGUGGGUGAUGGGAAGAGUGGAUCCAUCACCGACGACGAUGCGAGAAGACAUAGGGUACGGGGAGACAUGAGAGAGGAUACCGAGGUUGGACGCCAUAUGAGCAGCGGCGCCUGUGUCCAUGUACCAGUCCCCGCCGCCAGAGUAGUUGCUUGGGGAAGGGGCGGCGUGGAGGGCGGCUAGGAGCGCCGGGUCGUAGGUGUAGCCGGUCGGUGCAGCGCCGUAGGAGGAUGAUGAAGCAGCACCGGGAGCCAUGGCCCCGGUGUACGCCGAAGAACCGCCGAGUCCGGGACCUCCGGGCGCGGCCAGGAGAGCCUGAUGAAGACCCGGGCGAGGGCCAAGUAUGCCCGGAGCGGGUGCCCGCGGAAGGGGCAUCGAGUAGGCAUGCACCACCCCCGUCCAGGGGUUGUACCCCGUGAGCCAGGGCGGGGGCGCCGCGGCCUGAGCAGGAGCGGGCGGGGCUGGGUGCCGCCGUUGCGGCCGCGGCCGUCGCGACCUCCCCGCCUCUUCUGGCGGCCCUGGUCAGGGGCGGCGGGCGGUGGUGGAGCCGCGGCGCGAGGAGGCUGCGGGAGGGCGGGGAUGCCCUUGGUGGUGCCGGCGUGGAGGGCGGCGAGAGGAGCUUGCCGCGCCGCGUGACGAAGGCGCUUUUCCUCCAUGCGAAGGUACGUGACCGCCUUGGCGUACGUCGGCGUGAGGAGGGAGAGGUUGGCGGCGGACUGGCCGAGGUCGGGGUGGAGGCCGCGAAGGAGGUUGGUGAGGAGGACGGAGUCGUCGAUGUUCAUGCCGACAUCGCGGAGUUCGUCUGCAAGAACCUUCAUCCGCGUGCAGUACUCGUCGAUCGAAAGAUCGUUUUGCUGCAUGGUGAAAAAAUCACCUUGGAGGAAGACACGGCGUUGGAGUUGAUUGUCGAGGAAGAGAUCGCACAGCCGUGUCCACAUGGUGUACGCCGACGGAUCGCGGGAGUUCACCAUGUUGAAGAGGCCGGGAGAGAUGGUGAGGAAGAGCCACUUGACGAUGCAGGCGUCCACAGCGAGCCACUCGUCGUCGUCCUUCAUGUCGGUGUAGUCGACGCUCCCGUCAACGUGCUCGAUGAGACGGUAGGAGCGGAACAAUAGCGCAAAGUACGUGCGCCAUGCGUUGUAGGACGGCGAGUCGAGGUCGAGGAUGACCGGAACAUGGUCCUUGAUGUGGAUCUCAUUGAGGCGAUCGGAGGCGAACGUGGUGCCGGAGAAGGAGCCGGCGUCGGAGGCAGAGGGUUUGGCCAUGGAGAUGGUUGGGGUUUUUGGGUGAGAGGGGUAGAGCGGCGGCGGCUACAGGAGGUACAGAGGAGCGGUGGCGGCGGUUAGGGUUUUGGGAGGGAGAGGUGGCGGCAGGAGGAGAGGGUGCGGCGGGAGUAGAGGCUGCGGCGACGACGGGUUGCGGAAGCGAUAGGAUCACGGUAAAACUGAUACCAUGUAGAAGACUAUAGGAUGCAACUCAAUUGUAUUCCAUCGGAGUCGGUUACAUUAUAUACAAGAGGUGUCUUGCGUGACAAGCCAACUAACUCUACAAUAUCUCUAGAGAUCAAUCUAUACAAGGCUAGAGAUAAGAGGAGAAUCAGUCGGAAAUAAAUACAAGGAUAUCACGUUUCAACACUGACACUCACCCUUGUUGUCGACAAGUCAUCAUCAACUAUCAGAAUGUGAGGCUAUUAUUUCUUUUUUUGAGGAAACUGAGGCUAUUAUUUCUCUCCUCGGGUUGAUCUAUUCUCCGUUUUUUCCAAAUUGGCCAAGUUACCCAUUGCAUAUUCGCACUUAUCGAGUAUAGAGUAGAUCUGCUUCUCUUUCUUCUUAUGAACAGAAUUGGCUUCUUAUCUUCAAUGGAAUGAAAUAAAUAUUCGCGUUUUCUGACACAGAAUCCCCUAGAAGGAUUAGGUACAUAGGAUAUGGAUAGUCUUUUUCAAUGCGAUAAAAUAAAGCGACAGCAUAUCUAUUUUUAUUUGCUAAAGGGGUAUUUCCAUGGGUUUGCCUUGGUAUCGUGUUCAUACUGUCGCAUUGAAUGAUCCGGGUCGAUUGCUUGCGGUGCAUAUAAUGCACACAGCUAGAGCAGUGGUUGGGCUGACUCAAUGGCUUUAUAUGAAUUAGCAGUUUUUGAUCCCUCUGAUUCUGUUUUGGAUCCAAUGUGGAGACAAGGUAUGUUCGAUGUUGUUGUUACCACGCGUCUUCACCAUUGUUAUUCAUUAGCAUGCAGUUCAACCCGAGUGUUAUAUCUCCUGCAUAUUUUUAGCAACGUUACAGUAAUACUAGGAACCAGCUGGAGAAUGCACGCUGAUACAGCUAUGGAUUCUCUACCUUGCCGUGGCAAAGGCCAAGGAAAAUUUGGUUGCCUUCUACAUCGUUCGAUAUAACAUAAGUUAUGAUUAUGGGGACUGGGGAAUCCGGUUGGCACAAAAAUAAAAAUCUAAGCACCACAUUCUCCAUACAUUCUGCAAGAUCAACAUUGUGUAACAUUUCCCCUUGUUAGAAUAAAUCUGAGGCGCUCCGUCAAUCUACCGAGGACCAAGCAAUCACACAAGCACGCCAACAAGAUUUGUUAACAAGGUUCACCGAUAUGGCUACAUCCUGGGGCCUGACUACGGGCGCUCCUCCCCGCGACACCGUCACAAUACCGCACCCCGGCCGCCCGGGCGCCGGCACACGCCGCCGGCUCCCCCGCGUGCCCGUGCUAUUAUGUUGACAUAUGUUACAUCGUGUGUCUACCCCCGAUAUAUAUGAGAUGCUUAGGAUACAAGUGUCCUAUUAGGACACAACUCCUACCCUGUCUACACACAGUCCAAAACCAAGUCCAACUGUAACCAACCUUGUACAAUAAUAUUCGACACAAUUCUAACAAACUCCACCUUGUCGAAUAUUCUCCACCACCUUGAAUUCGUCUGUGCGUCAAACCUCAAUGUACAUUGGACUUGAGAUACGUCAUGAGCACCGCUGCUACUCCCAGACUCCACGCGACUCCACCUGCAACUGUAGUCCCUUCUCGUCUUCCUCACAGUCAAUACUCGAGCAAAAUUAAGUUCCUCAAUACUCUACUUUGUGCUUCAAACUUCCGGAGAAUCCGUUCAACACCAUCACACACUGACCACUGUCUGCGUGAAAGUGAACAACUCACAUAUUGGGCGCCACAUAUAAGAAUUACAUGAACUCAACGUCACUGCUCUUUCUUGACCGUCUAUCUGAAACUUGAAGGAAUUUCACUGUCGCCCUGUGUCACUCUGAGUCAAAUUCACAGUUGUCUCAUCCUUUUCCUCGGAUAGUUUGUGACAUGUCCCAUAGCUAUAGCACUCCGCCUCCUUCUGUAUUUGUCAUCCGCACUUUGCCAUGUACACUGAACACCACAGAAUAUACGACAAUGUACUCUCUCAGGUUUUGACAAUUUUAGACUCUCCGCCACUUUCUCAGAUUGCCCAUGGUUAACUCUUGUCCAUCAACCGGCACCGAUAGACCCAGUCACCAACUUGAAUCCGGUACUCGUCAACACUGCUUCAGCACCCCCUUGCACACUUUGUCUGGCCACAUGUCUGACCACCAGUGCCUUGGCCUGUCGCUGUGUCCCGUGCUUACCGCACGCCUCGCCGCUAUCACCACGUCGAGCCUCUACUGUCCUGGUCGAGUCUCCCGGGUAGCUAGCCCCCACUGUCUCAACUCCCACUGCAGAGAACCACCGAUCAUCACCGACCGAUGCCGAGUAUCACGUCUCCAUCAGACCACUGGUACCCUUUCUGAACCACGUGUCUCUCGCUUUCUCGCUGAAAUAGGCUUCGACUCUUUGUCGACUUACGCCGUAACCCCUCCAUCAGCACAGAGUGAAGUCAUCCAUAAGACUCCAGUUCCACCUUUAACAUGACUCCAUGGUGGUUGUACGUGCCACCCCCGCGCCCCAUCGACUUCAAGCUCUCUCAUGUGUACACUGCCUUGAAUCAACCCUGCGCAAUAGUCUUGUCAAAGCCGCACAAGCCCUCAGGCCCGCACCACGUGUUUCCACGCCCCAGAAGUCAGCCACCAUCAGCAUCAUACUCCUAUGUCGUCGUCGCUGAAAUCACCGCCGUCUUCUGCUUUGACCAACAUCCAUGUUGAUCCAUCAGACUGUCCAGUCCGACCCAGCCGAAAUUAUCCGACUGCAACCAUGCUUCACCCCGCGUCGUGUCCGCCUCGCACUUCUGUGCAUUGCCUUGACGCCCUGUGUAUGCAUGAUCCUUCCACGACGCGCUCCAGACCCCUCCAAGCCUUAUAUGCACGACGUCAUCCUCGCCACGCACUCCAUCUUGACCAACUCGACAUCACACCACACUUUCAUCCGAGAAAUUAUUUGGACCCAAGCAGCUUCUUCGUGUCUGCAUUGCAAACAACAUAGAGGUCACGUUUUGCUCAAAACUCACGCCAUGCAUACUUCUUUGUCCAAAAACUACUUCCGAUGCCUCAAUUUGGCAACCUCAUGCGCCGGCUCCCAGGCGUCUUCCACGGCGUCCUGUACCUGACGCAAUGCCUGCAAUCAAAAUUUGCCAAAAAGAACAGAAAAGUUGAUCCCUUGAUUGAGCCUGCGCUGCCCGCGAAGAUAUGUUUCCUUUAACAAAUCUCUCGCUGCCUUUUCUGCAUCUGCCAAGAACGACCGUGAUCGCUACCUGCCGCGCCACUAGCAACAGCCCGCUCCGCGCACGAGACGCCCACGCCUGGGCUUUUGCGCUAUUGGCUUUGCCGCCCGCCUGGACUUCAGCCUCCUCACCAGUCACCUGGGCCGCUGGCCGCCCAGCGCUAGCGCGCACGUAGGCAUGUAUUCCACGCGUUGGCAGUACGCCUGCCUGAUAGAUUGAGAUAUUGGAGAAGUAAUUGUUGUAUUGAUCGGGGCCUCAAGGGCUGUUUAUAUAGAUUACAAAGCUUGGUCUCCAAGACUAGACUAAUAGAGAUAGAGUACAAUUUGAACUACCAAAUAUACAAACCGAAGAUAUNNNNNNNNNNNNNNNNNNNNNNNNNNNNNNNNNNNNNNNNNNNNNNNNNNNNNNNNNNNNNNNNNNNNNNNNNNNNNNNNNNNNNNNNNNNNNNNNNNNNNNNNNNNNNNNNNNNNNNNNNNNNNNNNNNNNNNNNNNNNNNNNNNNNNNNNNNNNNNNNNNNNNNNNNNNNNNNNNNNNNNNNNNNNNNNNNNNNNNNNNNNNNNNNNNNNNNNNNNNNNNNNNNNNNNNNNNNNNNNNNNNNNNNNNNNNNNNNNNNNNNNNNNNNNNNNNNNNNNNNNNNNNNNNNNNNNNNNNNNNNNNNNNNNNNNNNNNNNNNNNNNNNNNNNNNNNNNNNNNNNNNCCGGUGUAACAAUGUUGAGACUGGAUCGAAUGCCAGUGAAUGCUGCAGUAGGGAGCCCCUUGGUGAAAAUAUCAGCAAAUUGCGCAGUGGUAGGAACAUGAAGCACACGGACCUCGCCAAGAGCCACUUUUUCACGAACAAAAUGAAUAUCAAUCUCGAUGUGCUUGGUGCGUCGAUGCUGAACAUGAUUGGACGCCAUGUAGACUGCAGAAAUAUUGUCGCAAUACACAAUAGUUGCACGCUCGAUUGGUCGAUGGAGCUCAACCAAAAGCUGACGGAGCCACACUGCCUCGGCCACAGAAUGAGCAACAGACCUGUAUUCAGCUUCUGCAGACAAUCUGGAAACUGUAACCUGCCUUUUGGAAGACCAAGAAACAAGAUUGUCACCCAAAUAAACACAAAAGCCGGAUGUAGAUAGUCGAGUAUCUGGGCAACCCGCCGAGUCUGCAUCAGAAUAAACUGUCAAGCUUGUUGGAGAGGAAGAAUUAAGGAGAAGACCAUGAUCAAUGGUGCCUUUGAGAUACCGAAGUAUUCUCUUGACAUGAGAAUAAUGAGGAACACGAGGAUCAUGCAUAUAUAAGCAGGCUUGUUGAACAGAAUAAGAUAUAUCAGGGCGAGUGAGGGUGGCAUACUGGAGAGCACCAGUGAUACUGCGAUAUAGAGUAGGAUCAGAAAAGGGUUCACCAUCGGCCGACAGCUUAGUACCAACGUCGACCGGCGUACGACAAGGUUGACAGUCAGUCAUCCCUGCACGAGAGAGUAAAUCAAGAAUGUACUGACGUUGAGAUAGAAAGAGUGUAGAUGAAGUGCGGGAAACAGUGAUCCCAAGAAAGUGAUGAAGAGGACCGAGAUCAGUCAUGGAAAAUUCACGAUUAAGAGAAGAUAUAAUAUGUUGUAAAAAGGAAUCAGAAGAGGUAGUGAGAAUUAUGUCAUCAACAUAUAAGAGAAGAUAGGCAGUAUGGGAGGAGGACUGAAAAAUGAAGAGAGAUGAAUCAGAUUUAGAUGCGGUAAAACCUAUUGUGUGAAUAAAGGUGGUGAAGCGAUGAAACCAAGCACGAGGUGCUUGUUUAAGACCGUACAGAGAUUUGUGAAGAAGACAAACAAAAUCAGGAGAAGAGGAAUUCUCAAAACCCGAAGGUUGUUGACAAUAGACAGUUUCAUUGAGAGUGCCAUGGAGAAAAGCAUUUUUAACAUCAAGUUGAUGAAUAGGCCAAGAAGAGGAAACAACAAGACUAAGAACAACACGAAUAGUGCUUGGUUUAACAACAGGAGAAAAAGUCUCAUCAAAGUCAAUACCAUGCUGCUGGGAGAAACCAUGACACACCCAACGAGCUUUGUAACGAGCGAGAGUGCCAUCGGAAUGAAAUUUAUGAUGAAAAACCCAUUUUCCAGAAACAAUGUUAACACCAGAAGGUUUGGGAACAAGAGUCCAUGUAUUAUUUUGUUGAAGAGCUUCAAAUUCAUCACGCAUAGCGGAAAGCCAGAGAGGGUCAAGAAGAGCUCGCUUAUAACUGGUUGGAAUAGGAGAGAUGGUUGGGGUGGCGGUAAGAUUGAGACGUUUGGUGGGGAGAAGAAAUCCUCGUUUUCCACGGGUGCACAUGACAUGAUCAUUGGUGAGCGGUGGUAUAAGAACGGCAUUGGGUGGCAGUGGGUUUUCGGUUAAAGAAGACGGUGAGGAAGAAGAAUCAGAGGUGGUGGGUGUUGAGGUGGUUGCCGUGGUAGGAUGUGGUGAGGGAAAGAUGGAUGGGGUAGAGGAUGCAGUUGCGGGAGAGGUGGGGGACGGGGCAGGAGGGUGGCUGACGGUGGGCGAUUCCGGCGGAGAGACGGAACAAGACUCCAUGGCAGCAGAGAUGACUGAAGGACGAACUAGGGAAGGGGUUUUGGUGGUGGCGGAUUGUGGUGGAAUUGGUUUUGUGGUUGUAGUGACAGAAAAAGGAAAAGUAUUUUCAUCGAAUGUGACAUGACGAGAGAGAAUGAUACGACCAGAAGAUGGAUCGAAACAACGAUAUCCUUUGUGAUCAUCAGAAAGACCAAGGUGAAUGCAAGGUAGUGAGCGUGGUUCUAGUUUGUUGGAGGCGGUAGAGGCAAUGUUGGGAAAGCAUAGAGAGCCAAAAACACGCAGAAAAGAAUAGUCAGGGUGGGAGAGAAAAAGAGAUUGGAAAGGCGAAUAAAGAGGGCAAGUUUUAGUUGGUCGAAUAUUAAGAAGUAGUGUGGCGGUGCGAAGGGCUUCAACCCAAAAACGGGAAGGAAGAGAAGCUUGUAAAAGCAAUGUGCAAAGAACAUCAUUAAUAGAGCGAAGACAGCGUUCAGCUUUACCAUUUUGAGAAGAUGUAUAAGGGCAUGAAAAACGAAGAAGGAUGCCUUGAGAGAGAAAGAAGGUGCGGUUUUGGGU
rnacentral:lncRNA from 1 species